rnacentral:rRNA from 1 species
AUUGAACGCUGGCGGCAGGCCUAACACAUGCAAGUCGAGCGGAUGACGGGAGCUUGCUCCUUGAUUCAGCGGCGGACGGGUGAGUAAUGCCUAGGAAUCUGCCUGGUAGUGGGGGACAACGGUUCGAAAGGAACGCUAAUACCGCAUACGUCCUACGGGAGAAAGCAGGGGACGUUCGGGCCUUGCGCUAUCAGAUGAGCCUAGUUCGGAUUAGCUAGUAGGUGAGGUAAUGGCUCACCUAGGCGACGAUCCGUAACUGGUCUGAGAGGAUGAUCAGUCACACUGGAACUGAGACACGGUCCAGACUCCUACGGGAGGCAGCAGUGGGGAAUAUUGGACAAUGGGCGAAAGCCUGAUCCAGCCAUGCCGCGUGUGUGAAGAAGGUCUUCGGAUUGUAAAGCACUUUAAGUUGGGAGGAAGGGCAGUAAGUUAAUACCUUGCUGUUUUGACGUUACCGACAGAAUAAGCACCGGCUAACUCUGUGCCAGCCGCCGCCGUAAGAC